GUACUAAAUACCACCAAAUUGUUCACUUUAAAAUAGUUACUUUUAUGUUACAUUAAUUUCAUCUCAAUAAGAAAAUGAUUAGCAUUUCUUGUGUUUUCUCUAUCUAUGUCUAUGGUCUUAUAAUCUUUGUCUCCAAGACAUGACCCUUUCCAUCAAGUCCCUCAAAACAUUAUCACAGUUUCAUUGUCUCCCCACUGUAGGAAGAUCUAUUAUCAAAAGAAGUUUCUGAUCUCUGGUCUCAUGAUAGAGUUAGUUACCAUUUGUCUUCCACCACCAUUAUUUCCAGAGAUUCCUUCUGCUUAACUGGUAUUUACAUUUACACUUGAAAGGAAAUGUGCUUGAAACCUGUUGUGAUGUCCCAGAAUGGAAAGUCUCCAAAAGCUCCCUGCAGGGCACUGCUGGAUUAAUGGAAAUGAAUCAGAACAGCUCCUGGCCUUGGGGCGCUCACAGAAUAAGGAAACAGAUGACCCCUGUGAGAACAGCUAUGCAGGGAAAGCUACACAUGGUAAGAAAC
rnacentral:lncRNA from 1 species